GGAUUUUCACCUCUUUGCUCUUCACUGGCACUCUCUUUCCAGCUGUCUGUUGUCAUGAAGCAUCUGCAGUUUUUGCCCUUAGGACAGAAGUGUGGGACAGGGAUCAGGGCUCCUUGGGCAGGAUGCUUGCCCAUCAUGUACAGAGCCCUGGAUUCCAGCGCCAGCACCACAGAACCCAGGCUCAGCUCUGUACUGCAUGCCUGUAAUCUCAGUACUCAGGAUAUGGAGGCAGGAAGAUCAGGAUCAAAGUCAUCCUCCGCUACACAGAAGAACAGAGAGUUUGGCAAGCCAAGCCAAAAGAAGCUGGAAUCUCAGUUAUUUAAAUCCUGACCAUAACUGCAGUUGGGGAAACUUCAAAGCCAACCCGGUCGGUCGUCCUACAUCCAAAGCCAGCAGCCAUCUGUCCCCUUCACCGGCAUAAACGCCUUCUGAUGCCAAAGAAGAGCAAGCCUUAAAUCCAGAUAAAA
rnacentral:lncRNA from 1 species